AUUAAGAUGGCAGAUUAUUGUGUUAGAUUUAAGCUCUGGUUAGGAGCCUGAACAGGCUCUCUUAAUU
rnacentral:tRNA from 1 species